CACGUAGGGUGCGAGCGUUGUCCGGAAUUAUUGGGCGUAAAGAGCUCGUAGGCGGUGUGUCGCGUUGUCCGUGAAAUUCCCUGGCUUAACUGGGGGCGUGCGGGCGAUACGGGCAGACUGGAGUACUGCAGGGGAGACUGGAAUUCCUGGUGUAGCGGUGGAAUGCGCAGAUAUCAGGAGGAACACCGGUGGCGAAGGCGGGUCACUGGGCCGCAACUGACGCUGGAGGAGCGAAAGCAUGGGAGCGAACAGGAUUAG
rnacentral:rRNA from 1 species